rnacentral:rRNA from 1 species
GACGAACGCUGGCGGCGUGCUUAACACAUGCAAGUCGAGCGGAGCGGCGACCGGGUGAGUAACGCGUGAGUAACUGCCCCCCCCUCUGGGAUAACAGUUGGAAACGGCUGCUAAUACCGGAUCGUGUGGGAUGACUCGCGUCCGAUCAUGUUGUUGGUGGGGUAGUGGCCUCCCAGGGCGGCGACGGGUAGCCGGCCUGGGAGGGCGACCGGCCACAUUGGGCUGAGAGACGGCGCAAUGGCGUACGGGAGGCAGCAGUGGGGAAUAUUGCGCAAUGGGGGAAACCCUGAUGCAGAAACGCCGCGGGCGGGAUGACGGCCUUCGGGUUGUAAACCGCUUUCAGCCAUGACGCGGUAGUGGCAGAAGAAGCACCGGCUAACUACGUGCCAGCAGCCGCGGUAAUAC